UCACUAAGGCCGAAAUUACAA
rnacentral:piRNA from 1 species